CAUGAUUUGAAGAUUGUGAAGGUUGUUUGAACAAAUGGUGGAGCAUUGAAUUACCAGAGCAGAAGCAGGAAUUGACAGAAGGAUGAAGGAUUUGGCUUGGAGCCAGAAACCCUCAAGAGGUGCAUCCAUUUUCUGCACAAACUCCAGCCUUUGUAGCGGUUCACUAGCAAUUGUAUUAUAUAGACGUAUACAACCACCCAGCAUUCUUCUGUGUGCUAGUGUGGAGACUGGGGUGCAUUUACUACUGUAAAAAGAUUGUAUUUGGGGAGGAAGUCAUUAUUUUCCAGACAGCCAGAAGUUGAAUAAAGUCUUUAUUAUUGCUGCUUGCUAGGUGAUUGCUUUGGUUGAUUGUUGAGUUAGAAAGGUUUUUGACUGUGGAUUAGAUAGAGUAUUUGUCAUGGCUGAAUGGAGAGGAGCGAGCUCUUCCUGACUGCUUCUAACUUUUUCUUUAUUUGACUCGUUGCUUCAUAUUUGCCUGGGUCAGUUUUAGUAGUCUCUAUUUUUCUGCAGAACCGAUUGUAGGCAUAGAGAACAGUUGCUGUGCUUAUUUGUACUAAGGAAAAGAUGUGGGGUUAGAUGUCUCAGUAUUUUGGCAGGACAACGUGAGGCAUUUUGUCACCUAAAGAAGGUCUUUGGUAGAAGCUGAAGAGAAUGAAUGGUGGGAUGGAGCCUGUGAAGUCUGUUGAUUAGCGACUCUGCUUCCACAUUAGCAGAAGGGAACGCAAGCACACUGUAAAUGAUGUCUUUGUCCUUGGAGAUCUUACAGUCUAAUCUUGAAAUAAUCAGCACAGAGUGAGCAGGAAUGUAAAACAGAUGGGGGAAUUGUAUGCAGGGUGACAUUAAGAGGAACGCCUGAUUAUUUAGAUACCAUUUUGUUGUGAAUGCGCUUAAAGCAUGUGUGUUUCUGUCGGGUGGUUAUGUUUAAUACACUAAAGGAAAUUAUACUCAACUGAGUUGUAAGCUGCUGAGAGGUUGAAUAUACAAGUAUGAGAACAGGAACAAGUAGUUGUGUUCUAUCUCUGGUGUGGUUCAAUAAUCAGAGUUCAAAGUUUUCAGUUAAUAAAUUAUGCAUAUAAAUGCAGUGGUUAUGCUUUUCCCAUGCUUUGUUCACAAAAAAUAAAUAUAAUUCAUGAAUAUUUUCUUUAAUUUCAAAUAGCAAAUGUGAAGUGAUAAACUCAAACUUUGAUCUCCAUCCUAUUAGUGGAAGUGGUUUAAUUAUUUGCAGCUAUUACCCUGUUCUGUUCUUUGUGGUGCUACGGUGUGUACAGAGAUUGGUUUUUGUAUUGUUGGCUUCAGCUUUCAAAUGGUUUUGAUGUGCACCUGCAUGUGAAGCGCACUAGAGACAUUCCAGACUUGAAAGGAUGAAAGUGGGGACUGCACAGCAAGAUGAGGCUCGUGAUGAAGCACUCGUGUGUGCUCAUGUGUAUAACAGCAGCUCCGCAUCCAAAAGACCAGACUGUGAACUGCAGAUUUUCAUUGUGGCUGCAGGAUCAGCAACACCACACUGGAGCUCACUAUUUCUUCUGAUUGACUCCUCGGCUAAUCGGCACUCACUAAAUCAAGUUGAGGUUGCAUUUGAGCCAUCUGGUUCCUUGUUCAGUACCCCAUUCUUAAUAAAUUCAGUUGUUUAUAACAUGAA